GGGGAAUUUUCCGCAAUGGGGGCAACCCUGACGGAGCAACGCCGCGUGCGGGAGGACGGUUUGUGGACUGUAAACCGCUUUUAAUAGGGAAGAAGUACUGACGGUACCUAUUGAAUCAGCAUCGGCUAACUCCGUGCCAGCAGCCGCGGUAAUACGGAGGAUGCAAGCGUUAUCCGGAAUUAUUGGGCGUAAAGGGUCCGCAGGUGGCUUAUCAAGUUAGCUGUUAAAGGCCGGGGCUUAACUCCGGACGAGCAGUUAAAACUGGUAGGCUAGAGUACGGUAGGGGUAGAGGGAAUUCCUAGUGUAGCGGUGAAAUGCGUAGAUAUUAGGAAGAACACCAGUGGCGAAGGCGCUCUACUGGGCCUGUACUGACACUGAGGGACGAAAGCUAGGGGAGCGAAAGGGAUUAGAUACCCCUGUAGUCA
rnacentral:rRNA from 1 species